rnacentral:tRNA from 1 species
GGAGGGGUGGCCGAGUGGUUUAAGGCGGUGGUCUUGAAAACCACUAACCGAAAGGUUCGUGGGUUCGAAUCCCACCCCCUCCGCCA